rnacentral:rRNA from 1 species
GUGAGGAAUAUUGCGCAAUGGACGAAAGUCUGACGCAGCCAUGCCGCGUGAAGGAUUGACGGCCCUAUGGGUUGUAAACUUCUUUUGUAUAGGAAUAAACCCUCGUUCGUGAACGAGGCUGAAGGUACUAUAAGAAUAAGCACCGGCUAACUCCGUGCCAGCAGCCGCGGUAAUACGGAGGGUGCAAGCGUUAUCCGGAUUUAUUGGGUUUAAAGGGUCCGUAGGCGGAUCGUUAAGUCAGUGGUGAAAUCCUACCGCUCAACGGUAGAACUGCCAUUGAUACUGGCGAUCUUGAGUAUGUAUGAAGUUGGCGGAAUGUGUGGUGUAGCGGUGAAAUGCUUAGAUAUCACACAGAACACCGAUUGCGAAGGCAGCUGACUAAUACACAACUGACGCUGAGGGACGAAAGUGUGGGGAUCAAACAGGAUUAGAUACCCGUGUAGUCC